rnacentral:rRNA from 1 species
GUCCGCACUGUAAACGAUGAUUACUCGCUGCUGGGAGGUAACUUUCAGUGGCUUAGCGAAAGCGAUAAGUAAUCCACCUGGGGAGUACGCCGGCAACGGUGAAACUCAAAGGAAUUGACGGGGGCCCCGCACAAGCGGAGUAGCAUGUGGUUUAAUUCGAUGAUACGCGAGGAACCUUACCAGGGCUUGAAAGUUAGUGACCGACUCUGAAAGGAGUCUUUCCGCAAGGACACGAAACUAGGUGCUGCAUGGCUGUCGU